GACGAACGCUGGCGGCGCGCUUAACACAUGCAAGUCGAACGGAAAGGCCUGCUUUCCCUUGUGGAUUGCGGGUACUCGAGUGGCGAACGGGUGAGUAACACGUGAGUGAUCUGCCCCCAACUUGGGUAUAAGCCUGGGAAACUGGGUCUAAUUCCCGAUAGGACUGCAGGGUGGUGCCUGUGGUGGAAAACGAUUUUCUAGUGGUUGGGGAUGAGCUCGCGGCCUAUCAGCUUGUUGGUGGGGUAAUGGCCUACCAAGGCGGCGACGGGUAGCCGGCCUGAGAGGGUGGACGGCCACAUUGGGACUGAGAUACGGCCCAGACUCCUACGGGAGGCAGCAGUGGGGAAUAUUGCACAAUGGGCGGAAGCCUGAUGCAGCGACGCCGCGUGGGGGAUGACGGCCUUCGGGUUGUAAACUCCUUUCGACCGCGAGGAAGCCACCUGGUUGGAAGGGUGGUGACGGUAGUGGUAGAAGAAGCACUGGCUAACUACGUG
rnacentral:rRNA from 1 species